CUGGUUCCGGGCAGUGCCAGGGGGGACAGCCCUGCCGCUGAGCAGCCAGGCCGAGCUGACGUGGGACAGCCUGCGGCCUUCCGACGCGGGGACAUACUACUGCGAGGCAGAGAACAGAGUCGGGGCAGGGGUGGUGCAGCGGAGCGAUGCCGUGGAGCUGGUGGUGAGAGGGUCCCCAGUCACACAGCCACCCACGCCUGGGACCAGCCGGCACACAGGACCCCCACUCCCCUCAGAAGGCAGCGAAGCUCCCCAUGCGCUGGGAGAUCUGUCCACAGCAACGCUGUCCGCCAGGAAUGAUGUCGUUUCAGAGAGGGCUCCCGCUGCCACAGGUGAGCAAGCCCCUUGGUGAAACACGCACGAUUUGCACGGGGAGGGGCAGGCUGGCAAACACUCCGCAGACCAGACACUGAAACCGACUGCCCCAUUUUGCAUUUUGCAUUGCUGCUGGGAGCAAACCCCGGGCCUGUCAAACGCAGGCAGGAGCUGCCCUCUCGGCCGCCCA
rnacentral:lncRNA from 1 species